CAAUAGCGUAUAUUAAAGUUGUUGCGGUUAAAAAGCUCGUAGUUGGAUUUCUGCCGAGGACGACCGGUCCGCCCUCUGGGUGUGUAUCUGGUUUGGCCUGGGCAUCUUCUUGGAGAACGUAGCUGCACUUGACUGUGUGGUGCGGUGUCCAGGACUUUUACUUUGAGGAAAUUAGAGUGUUUCAAGCAGGCACACGCCUUGAAUACAUUAGCAUGGAAUAAUAAGAUAGGACCUCGGUUCUAUUUUGUUGGUUUCUAGAGCUGAGGUAAUGAUUAAUAGGGAUAGUUGGGGGCAUUCGUAUUUAACUGUCAGAGGUGAAAUUCUUGGAUUUGUUAAAGACGGACUACAGCGAAAGCAUUUGCCAAGGAUGUUUUCAUUGA
rnacentral:rRNA from 1 species